AGCAAUUGCAUCAAUGUUCACUCAUGCUGGAGUUUUGGGCUAGAGCAUGUUCCAAAUUUGAAGAUAAACGUUGAAAUAGGAAGAAGAAGGGGCAACUCCUUGGACACUGAGGCUACAGAUGGAAGUGAGGCCCCUUUGGUAAAGAACCUUCUGCACCCUAAAAAGGUAUUUAAAUAUUAUCCUAUAGGUGAUGGAAGUUUGGAGAGGUUGGUUCUGGGGAUAAUAUUUUUAGAAGAUGUUGUCUGCAAUACAAACUUAGCAGUUUCAAACCGCAUACAUUUAUUAUUCCAUAGUUGUCAUGGGUCCGAGUCCACACUUGGCUUAUGACCAGGUCCUCUGCUCAGGGUCUCCCAUGGCUGCAAAGAAGUUGAAAACACACAAGGUGUGUUUGCAUCUGGAUGCUUAACUAAGGAAAAAUCCACUGCAUUCAGAUUCCUUCAGGUUUAUUCAGUUUUUUUAUACAAUGCAUUUCCAUGUCAUUCUGUGACUGAAGGUCCCAGCUUUUUAUUAGCCAUUGCCUGGAGGCUAACUUCAAAUUUUAGAGGCUACC
rnacentral:lncRNA from 1 species